AGUGAACGCUGGCGGUAGGCCUAACACAUGCAAGUCGAACGGCAGCACAGUAAGAGCUUGCUCUUACGGGUGGCGAGUGGCGGACGGGUGAGGAAUACAUCGGAAUCUACUUUUUCGUGGGGGGUAACGUAGGGAAACUUACGCUAAUACCGCAUACGACCUACGGGUGAAAGCAGGGGAUCUUCGGACCUUGCGCGAUUGAAUGAGCCGAUGUCGGAUUAGCUAGUUGGCGGGGUAAAGGCCCAGCAAGGCGACGAUCCGUAGCUGGUCUGAGAGGAUGAUCAGCCACCCUGGAACUGAGACACGGUCCAGACUCCUACGGGAGGCAGCAGUGGGGAAUACUGGACAAUGGGCGCAAGCCUGAUCCAGCCCUACCGGGUGGGUGAAGAAGGCCUUCGGGUUGUAAAGCCCUUUUGUUGGGAAAGAAAAGCAGCCGUUUAAUCCCCCGCUGUUCUGACGGUACCCAAAGAAUAAGCCCCGGCUAACUUCGUG
rnacentral:rRNA from 1 species